UGUGUAGGCGGUUCUUUAAGUUUGGUGUGAAAUCUCCCGGCUCAACCGGGAGGGUGCGCCGAAUACUGAGGGACUAGAGUGCGGGAGAGGAAAGUGGAAUUCCUGGUGUAGCGGUGAAAUGCGUAGAUAUCAGGAGGAACACCGGUGGUGUAGACGGCUUUCUGGACCGUAACUGACGCUGAAACACGAAAGCGUGGGUAGCAAACAGGAUUAGAUACCCUGGUAGUCCACGCCCUAAACGAUGCAUAUUUGGUGUGGGUCAUUCAGUUGAUCCGUGCCGGAGCUAACGCGUUAAAUAUGCCGCCUGGGGAGUACAGUCGCAAGACUGAA
rnacentral:rRNA from 1 species